GAGCUUCAGCUCAUCUUUUUUGUCACCUGCCAUACCUUUGCCUCUAAGUGUCCCCCAGUUUUUAUUGCUGCCCUCUCCAUCCGCACCAGUGCCUCUCUCUGCCAGUUCCACUGUUCUCUCGCCUGCUCUUUAGGAUUUCCUUUGUUUUGCCUCCUUGCCUGGUGCUUUCAGCGAGCAGCGCUGACGUCAUCUCAGGAACCGUGCUGCGUCUGAGAGAAGAACCUGCAGUAGCUGUUUAAGUGUGCGGUGCUGGCAGAGUACCUCCCUGAAGGUGUCCUGGGGAAAGUGUGGUGUCAGCACAGCGGCAGGUCACCGUUCAGGAAGGACCCUUGUACCGCACGGAGGGCUCCCACAUCACUAUCUGGUGCAAUGUGAGUGGCUACCAGGGACCUUCUGAACAGAAUUUCCAGUGGUCCAUUUACCUGCCUUCGUCGCCAGAGCGAGAGGUGCAGAUCGUCAGCACCAUGGACUCUUCCUUCCCCUAUGCCAUCUACACCCAGCGCGUCCGCGGAGGGAAGAUCUUCAUAGAAAGAGUCCAGGGGAACCCAACCCUAUUGCACAUCACAGAUCUUCAGGCCCGGGAUGCCGGGGAAUAUGAAUGCCACACACCCAGCACCGAGAAGCAAUACUUUGGGAGUUAACAGUGCAAAGAUGAACCUAGUGGCAAGGCAAGUGAGGUGCUGCCGUCAUCCAGGCUGGACAGUUCAGUGAUUUGCCUGAGGCCCCACAGCAGGAGAACGAGAAGGCUGCCUGAUCAGAGAGUCUCUGAAGAAGAUUCUGUGGCUACAGGCUUCAGCAGAGUGUGAGGGAGACCCCGGUUAUUUCCUCAGCUGUUUCCACCAAAUCCUCCUGUCUUUCGUGGCCAACACCCCAGGCAAGGCUUGGGGCCCCCGUCUGCUGCUGGACGCAGAGCCAUGAAGAAGAAGUUAGUGGUGCUGGGCCUGCUGGCCGUGGUCCUGGUGCUGGUCAUUGUCGGCCUCUGUCUCUGGCUGCCCUCGGCCUCCAAGGAACCUGACAACCAUGUGUACACCAGGGCUGCCAUGGCCGCGGAUGCCAAGCAGUGCUUGGAGAUUGGGAGGAAAAGCUGAGGUCAUCAAUGCCCGCGAGGUGGCCCCCAGGCUGGCCUUUGCCAGCAUGUUCAACAGCUCGGAGCAGUCCCAGAAGGCACUUUAGGAGGCCAAGUCAGGAGGAGCGCAUGAGCCCAGGAGACCUGCCUGGACAACAUAGCAAGACUCCAUCUCUACAAAAAAUGGAAAAAAAAAUUAGCAGGAGGGCUGUCGGUGGCGGUGCCUGGGGAGAUCCGAGGCUAUGAGCUGGCACACCAGCGGCAUGGGCGGCUGCCCUGGGCUCGCCUCUUCCAGCCCAGCAUCCAGCUGGCCCGCCAGGGCUUCCCUGUGGGCAAGGGCUUGGCGGCAGUCCUGGAAAACAAGCGGACUGUCAUCGAGCAGCAGCCUGUCUUGUGGGGGCAUUGUGACAGCUGAGGACCUGAACAACUACCGUGCUGAGCUGAUCGAGCACCCGCUGAACAUCAGCCUGGGAGACGCGGUGCUGUACAUGCCCAGUGCGCGGCUCAGCGGGCCCGUGCUGGCCCUCAUCCUCAACAUCCUCAAAGGGUACAACUUCUCCCGGGAGAGCGUGGAGACCCCCGAGCAGAAGGGCCUGACGUACCACCGCAUCGUAGAGGCUUUCCGGUUUGCCUACGCCAAGAGGACCCUGCUUGGGGACCCCAAGUUUGUGGAUGUGACUGAGGCCAGCUCUGGGGUCUCAGCAGGUGGUCCGCAACAUGACCUCUGAGUUCUUCGCUGCCCAGCUCCGGUCCCAGAUCUCUGACCACACCACUCACCCGAUCUCCUACUACAAGCCCGAGUUCUACACGCCGGAUGACGGGGGCACUGCUCACCUGUCUGUCGUCGCAGAGGACGGCAGUGCUGUGUCCGCCACCAGCACCAUCAACCUCUACUUUGGCUCCAAGGUCUGCUCCCCGGUCAGUGGGAUCCUGUUCAAUAAUGAAUGGACGACUUCAGCUCUCCCAGCAUUCACCAAUGAGUUUGGGGCACCCCCCUCACCUGCCAAUUUCAUCCAGCCAGGGAAGCAGCCGCUCUUGUCCAUGUGCCUGACGAUCAUGGUGGGCCAGGACGGCCAGGUCCGGAUGGUGGUGGGAGCUGCUGGGGGCACGCAGAUCACCACAGACACUGCACUGGCCAUCAUCUACAACCUCUGGUUCGGCUAUGACGUGAAGAGGGCCGUGGAGGAGCCCCGGCUGCACAACAAGCUUCUGCCCAACGUCACGACAGUGGAGAGAAACAUUGACCAGGCAGUGACUGCAGCCCUGGAGACCCGGCACCAUCACACCCAGAUCGCGUCCACCUUCAUCGCUGUGGUGCAAGCCAUCGUCCGCACGGCUGGUGGCUGGGCAGCUGCCUCGGACUCCAGGAAAGGCGGGGAACCUGCUGGCUACUGAUUGCUCCAGGCAGACAAGGCUGACAAGCAAUCCAGGGACAAGAUACUCACCAGGAUGAGGAAGAGGACUUUGGGGGACGGGCUUCCCCUGUGAGCAGCAGAGCAGCAUAAUAAAUGAGGCCACUGUGCCAGGCUCCAGGUGGCCUCCCUGGCCUGUCUCCCC